rnacentral:tRNA from 1 species
UUCUGUGGCUUAGUUGGUUAAAGCGUCAGUCUAGCGAAUACGGAGUCGUGGGUUCGAAUCCCACCAGAA